CUAGCCAUUCUGCGUUCGCUCCCCCAAUCGCUCUCGUUUUCUCCUCCCUGAUUCUCCUCGUCCGUCCGCCGCCGCUGCCUCCUCUCCGGCGAGCCGCCGUCGCCCACGUCCGCUCGCCGUCGCCCACGUCCGCCCGCCGUCGCCCGCCUCCUCUCCGGUGAUCCAAGGACGAGCGGCUGUGGCUGGCACGGCCGCGCUCGCCUCGUCUUCAUAGGCUCCGGCGAGGCAGGGCCAUGGGUGUCGAAAACCCUAGCCGCCACAAGCCAAUCCCUUGCUAGCUUUCUCCCACAAUCCCCACGCAUGGCUCUCCCUAAUCCCCUUCCCUUGACUUCUCCUCUCCCACCAUGGCCACCAAAGAGGAGCGGCUAGAGGAUGGUCGGAGGCACUGCUUGUGCACAUAAGGAGGAGCACGAGGCGCAGCUACCGGUGAGGGCAUAGAGGAAGAGGAUGAGGUGAGGGGGAGGAGUGGUGAAGAGAUGCUUGACGGAGGCAGAAGAGAGACCGCCUGCGGUGAGCUGCAUCUCCAAUCGACCUCCAUCGUCCAUCCCUGGAUUUACUUUGGGUCGUGCGGCGGCCGGCGGCCGGCCGGCAGGCCCGGGCUCUGCCUUGCCGCUCCACCCGACCCCUUAUCUGUGGCAGAUGGAGGGCUUCAACGGCGCUGGUUUGAGCUCUCUCUCCCUCCGGCUAAAUGUCAAGGUGGAUCUUGUGGUGAACAUGGUGGAGCUUGGCAGCCUGACUGCCAACGACCUGCUUGUCCGUGCUAGAGAGUAUGUGCAGCAGCUUGCAGAGGCAUAGAUGCCUUUGAUCUCAUCAUACAAAAAUGUGGAUAGCGAGAGGUGUGGUGCAUCUGAUGGUCGGAAAGGCCUAUUGCCACGGACUUGCAUCGAAGUUUUGUAGGAUUGUCUAAAACUAUUGAUCUACUGUCAUUGUUUGUUACCUGCAUCUGUUCGUUUUGCUAAAGAUUUAUGCUUGCUGUAGCUUUUGGCUCACAAGCCUCACAGGUUAGUGUCUUCUUCAUUUCUUCGUCUGAUAUUGUGUUCAAAGUGGCUUCAUAUAUUUCUUGAGAGUGGUGUCUUCAUUUCUUCGUCUGAUAUUGUGCUCAAAGUGGCUUCAUAUAUUUCUUGAGAGUAGUCAUCCUGAAGUUGAUUUACAUUUCCCGCAAGUAGCUCUGUUAUAUGCACAUAAAUUUCAUAUGAGUUGAUAUAAAAUCUUUAUAUCUCAUUUGAUCUUUAUAAAAGCUCAUAAUGAAAUCUUGAAUUCAGCAUUCUUUAAAUAUAUGAGAUUGAGGUUAUAAAGGUUGAGCCAUAGAUAGAGAAACUAAUCCAAUUAUUGUUGAUACCUCAGUUUCAGGUUUCUAAGAGUAUCGCCGUAGAUUAUGAGAGAUGGAUUCCUAAUAGCUUCUUUUUGAUUUACUAAAGGCAUGAACCACAUAUAAAGUUCAGAGAAAAUUUAAAGCUCAUUUGGAACGACUGAAAAUGUUUAAAGUUCAUUCAUACAUUUAUUUUCUCUUCAUAGUCCAUUAACAGGCUAACGGCCUUCGAUUUAUCUCGCUCCUGUUGCGGAAAUUAAUCGAGUAUGAAGCAAAUAGGAUGAUAUUUUUCUGUAGAGACCCCUGAUGUCUUCUUUCAUGUCCCGGACAUUCCCAAGGAUAUUCAGGGUUCCCUAUAAAGAAUAUUAUUCGAUCUUAUGCUAAAAUCAUGGUCUUUCAAAGGCUGAGUACCAUCUUGAAUUAUUAGAAGAUAGCAAAGUUCGUGAGAAUUGCUCUUUAACGCAUCUACAUGUCGAUGUCUGGACCCCAGUCCAAUGAUUUAUGAAAUAACAAAGAAAGUUGCUGACAAGCUUAAGGGCACAACAUUAUCUGCCAGUUGUUGUUUGGAUGAUUUGUUGCUGCUAGAGAGGGGGAUGGGAAGAGAAAGAAGAAAUGGUGAGGGAGGUUGAAAAGGAGCCAACAGAUGAACAUGGAUCUGCAAUAAUCAGAAACUACUUUGGUGGUGGAUGGAUGUUUGCAUCAGAUCUGAGGGUGCAAUGGUGGUCCUGAAGCAUUUCCAUGAGGUGUUUAGUGCAUAUAUGAAGAAUCAGGGGUACAAAUUGGGGACUUUCCAACAAUUAUGAAGAAGUGUGAUCUUAAACACCGACCAUGCGAUGAAAUCUGUAGAUGUUUCUGCAAGUUUUGCUUCAGCGAUGUUUGCCUCUUUGCCCCUUGCUUGAUUGGGCUACUUAACUGGGAAAUCGUCGGCUGCAUCUUACUUUCAGGUUUGACACUUUGGCGCUUGCUUGAUUCGGCUGCUCCUAGAAAAAGUUUCUGCAAGUUCUGUUUCGUUGAUGUUUGCCUCGAUGGGAAUGGAUCUACUUGUCGGGAUUAAUAAGCUUUGUGGAUGUAUUAGGUUGUGACUUGGUCUGGUCCUCGGUGUACUGAUUUAGCAAAUAGCUUGAAUCGGGCCAGUCACAAUACAGAUUGCUGCUCUUUUCCUUGACGGACAAAUUAGACUUAUCAUUUGCUGCUAUUGUUACAAAUCUUAUAGCUACAUGCAGGUAUGAGAACCAGGAUCAGAAGACUAUGGGAUGUAUUUUCCUUACUAAUGUUUGCCAGAGUUUCUUUGAAUAUGCAAUGUUCUGAUCCAGUUUCAUCCUAUUUUUGUAUGGUUAGCCACCCGCAAUAUUUUUGGCUUCUAUGAUGGUUCAGUUUUGUUCGUGCACCAGAUGAAGUUGCAAGUGUAAAAAGCCUUAUGUUGACAGUAGACAAUACCAUGUAGGAAUUCAUGCCAAUCUUAGGGUCCCUGUUUACUGUUAGUACCUCUUUCAUUUCUUCAGCAAUUUUUCUGUUCAGAGAGGCUUCAUAUGUUUGUUGAGUGGGAAUCCUUAAGUUGCUCUAGAAUUUCCAAAUAAAGUGGCUCUAAUUCAUAUCUACAUUUUUGUGUGAGUUCACAUUAAUAUUUGAAUCUCAUUUGGGUUUUCAAAUAGUAUUGCUUGAAAAUAUAUGUAUGGACAGAACAGUUAGAGCAACUCAUGGAAAUUUUAAACCUGAUCUUUUGAACCAAUGGUCGCUGCAUUCAAUUUAGUUCA